UUUUAUGGAUAAACAAAGAAAGUGGUUUCUUAAGAUGAAAUCUACUCCUGGUGAGGAUGUUAUGAA
rnacentral:pre_miRNA from 3 species